GAUGAACGCUCGCGGCGUGCCUAAUACAUGCAAGUCGAGCGAACGGACGAGAAGCUUGCUUUUCUGAUGUUAGCGGCGGACGGGUGAGUAACACGUGGAUAACCUACCUAUAAGACUGGGAUAACUUCGGGAAACCGGAGCUAAUACCGGAUAAUAUUUUGAACCGCAUGGUUCAAAAGUGAAAGACGGUCUUGCUGUCACUUAUAGAUGGAUCCGCGCUGCAUUAGCUAGUUGGUAAGGUAACGGCUUACCAAGGCAACGAUGCAUAGCCGACCUGAGAGGGUGAUCGGCCACACUGGAACUGAGACACGGUCCAGACUCCUACGGGAGGCAGCAGUAGGGAAUCUUCCGCAAUGGGCGAAAGCCUGACGGAGCAACGCCGCGUGAGUGAUGAAGGUCUUCGGAUCGUAAAACUCUGUUAUUAGGGAAGAACAUAUGUGUAAGUAACUGUGCACAUCUUGACGGUACCUAAUCAGAAAGCCACGGCUAACUACGUG
rnacentral:rRNA from 1 species